rnacentral:rRNA from 1 species
AACGAACCUUACCUUUAAGUCGGGGGAUAGCCCAUAGAAAUGUGGAUUAAUACCCCAUAGUAAUAUUAACUGGCAUCAGUUGGUAUUUAAAGAUUUAUCACUUAAAGAUGGCUGUGCGGCUGAUUAGGUAGUUGGUGUGGGUAACGGCCCACCAAGCCAUCGAUCAGUAACUGGUGUGAGAGCACGACCAGUCACACGGGCACUGAGACACGGGCCCG